rnacentral:rRNA from 1 species
GACGAACGCUGGCGGCGUGCUUAACACAUGCAAGUCGAACGGAAAGGCCCUGCUUUUGUGGGGUGCUCGAGUGGCGAACGGGUGAGUAACACGUGAGUAACCUGCCCUUGACUUUGGGAUAACUUCAGGAAAAUGGGGCUAAUACCGGAUAGGAGCUCCUGCUGCAUGGUGGGGGUUGGAAAGUUUCGGCGGUUGGGGAUGGACUCGCGGCUUAUCAGCUUGUUGGUGGGGUAGUGGCUUACCAAGGCUUUGACGGGUAGCCGGCCUGAGAGGGUGACCGGCCACAUUGGGACUGAGAUACGGCCCAGACUCCUACGUGAGGCAGCAGUGGGGAAUAUUGCACAAUGGGCGGAAGCCUGAUGCAGCAACGCCGCGUGCGGGAUGACGGCCUUCGGGUUGUAAACCGCUUUCGCCUGUGACGAAGCGUGAGUGACGGUAAUGGGUAAAGAAGCACCGGCUAACUACGUG